rnacentral:rRNA from 1 species
CAGUUUAACGGCCGCGGUACCCUAACCGUGCGAAGGUAGCAUAAUCACUUGUUUCUUAAAUAGAGACUAGUAUCAACGGCAUCACGAAGACUAUACUGUCUCCCCCCUAAAAUCAAUGAAACUGAUCUCCUCGUGAAGAAGCGAGGAUAUAUAUAUAAGACGAGAAGACCCCAUGGAGCUUUAAACGAACUUCAAUUGUUCCUACCCAUAACAUACAAAUUGAACACCCCUGAUAGUUAGUUUUAGGUUGGGGUGACCGCGGAGUAAAACAAAACCUCCACAAUGAAUGAAAUAAAAUUCUUAUAAAAGAACCACAAUUCUAAUAAUCAAAAAUUUGACAUAAAUUGACCCAAACACUUGAUCAAUGAACCAAGUUACCCUGGGGAUAACAGCGCAAUCCAUUUUAAGAGCCCAUAUCGACAAAUGGGUUUACGACCUCGAUGUUG